UACGUAGGGCGCAAGCGUUGUCCGGAAUUAUUGGGCGUAAAGAGCUCGUAGGCGGUCUGUCACGUCUGCCGUGAAAACCCGAGGCUUAACCUCGUGGCUUGCGGUGGAUACGGGCAGACUAGAGGUAGGUAGGGGAGAACGGAAUUCCCGGUGUGAGCGGUGAAAUGCGCAGAUAUCGGGAGGAACACCGGUGGCGAAGGCGGUUCUCUGGGCCUUACCUGACGCUGAGGAGCGAAAGCAUGGGGAGCGAACAGG
rnacentral:rRNA from 1 species